UUGACCUCGGAUCAGGUAGGGAUACCCGCUGAACUUAAGCAUAUCAAUAAGCCCGGAGGAAA
rnacentral:rRNA from 3 species